AAACUUAAAUGAAUUGACGGGGCCCGCACAAGCGGUGGAGCAUGUGGUUAAUUCGACGCAACGCGAAGAACCUUACCUAGGUUUGACAUCCCGGGGAGUCUCUUGAAAGAGAGAUGUGCCUUUCGGGGAGCCCGGAGACAGGUGCUGCAUGGCUGUCGUCAGCUCGUGUCGUGAGAUGUUGGGUUAAGUCCCGCAACGAGCGCAACCCUUAUCUUUAGUUACCAGCACUUCGGGUGGGGACUCUAGAGAUACUGCCCCGGUCAACGGGGAGGAAGGUGGGGAUGACGUCAAGUCCUCAUGGCCUUUAUGCCUAGGGCUACACACGUGCUACAAUGGGCGGUACAAAGGGUCGCGAUCCCGCGAGGGGGAGCCAAUCCCAAAAAGCCGCUCUCAGUUCGGAUUGCAGGCUGCAACUCGCCUGCAUGAAGCCGGAAUCGCUAGUAAUCGCGGAUCAGCACGCCGCGGUGAAUACGUUCCCGGGCCUU
rnacentral:rRNA from 1 species